GGGUGUUUGGAGAUAUUGUAUGUUAUUGUAAACAUUUAAUAAGUCAUAGUUAGUAUGCUAAAUUAGUGUAGUAAUAUAGACUUUAUCUCUCUUAUGCUUGUACCAUAGUUAAUUUACGGGCAUGUUAAACUACUUGAAUUGUACGGCAUAAGGAACUCUUGAGUACCUAUAGCGUUGUGAUGACACAUUGAUGCAUAUUGAGUCAAUGUAGUGAUUCGUUUAUCCAUAACCUUCGAUUUUAAGUGUGGGGUCCUCUUUUUUCCUCACAAUGACCUUAGGCGAAAAUUUUGGAUUCAUUCCCAUCUUUGUGUUUGUCAUGUGUAGGUUGCUAUGGCUCGUGACUAUACCGCUAAAGGAAAAGGGGUAGGGAAGUCUUCCACUACCGCUCCUCCUCCAAAGAAACACAAGCAAUAUGAGAGCUCUUCCCAACAAGCCAAGGGAAAGUAAAUACAAAGAAAUCAUG
rnacentral:lncRNA from 1 species